UAAAAAUUGUGAGAUAUAAAAACUCAGAUAUAUAAAAGGUAUAAAGUCAAAAUUACAAGUAAAAAAAUGGCAAGAUCUAAUUCCUUAAGAAAAAAACUGAAUCUUGAAAAAAAGAAAUUGAAAAUUGAAAAAUCACAACUUACAAUUGCAAAAUAUUUCAUAAUUCUGAGAAAAAAGUUGAAAUUGCAAGAUAAAAAAAAAGUGACUUUUUAAGAAAAAAAACUAUAAAA